rnacentral:lncRNA from 1 species
GCUGCUUCAGACUGUGUCUAUUCUAGGAAGGCUGACACAUGAUGAGAAGAUUCAGUGGUUCUGAGGUACAGUACUUAAGAUAACCCUGUGAAGGCUGAGAUUGGUAUUUGAAAUUCACAACUGAUCUUGGAGCCUGGUGCAGCAGUCAUGGAUAUGUUCAUGUGUGGAUGCGAUGGAACUGAGGUCACUAGGUUCAUGCUACCUGGAGCAUGAGGCUGACAAAUAGAGAAGCACUGAGUCAAAUGAAUCUUGGAAAAAUGGAGCUAGAAGAAAACCAGAGAAGACUGAUUCCCUGUGAAGAGUAGAGAGCCAGCAAAAACUGGAGAUAUUGGGCUUAUAUAGAAUCCAGAAAUGGAAGCCUCCUGAAAAUUAAUAUUUUAAAAAUAAGGGAUGCUUGACUUUUUCUUAACAUAAUAAAUGAUGAGGAACUGAAAAAAGAAUUCA